GCUGGGCAUAGUGGCGCAUGCCUGUAAUCCCAGUGGCUUAGGAGACUGAGGUAGGAGGACUGUCAGUUCAAAGCCAACCUCAG
rnacentral:sRNA from 1 species